rnacentral:rRNA from 1 species
UACGUAGGUGGCAAGCGUUGUCCGGCUUUACUGGGCGUAAAGGAUGCGUAGGCGGACAUUUAAGUCAGAUGUGAAAUACCCGAGCUUAACUUGGGUGCUGCAUUUGAAACUGGGUGUCUAGAGUGCAGGAGAGGUAAGUGGAAUUCCUAGUGUAGCGGUGAAAUGCGUAGAGAUUAGGAAGAACACCAGUGGCGAAGGCGACUUACUGGACUGUAACUGACGCUGAGGCAUGAAAGCGUGGGGAGCAAACAGG